rnacentral:lncRNA from 1 species
AAUAUGAUAUUUCAGAAAAAGAAGGCAGGGCGAGAAAUGGCUGUCCACACUCUUUACAAGAAAUGAAUAUGCAUUGAUGGAAUAUCAUUUACUUUGAUUUAGUUCAGACUCCUGAUAAAAGUUCUUUCCAGAUGUAAAGUGAAUUGAUGAAAUCUUGAAAAAGUGUUGUGAGGGUUGGUGUUCUCCAGAUAUAAAAAAAUGAGGAUUGUAUUAAAGAGUUUUAAAAUCUAUAAUCAUAUAUGAAAAAGCUGUCAGAUGAAUGAACUUUCCACAUGUAAACCGUCACAAAUGAUGCCUGUUUGUAUUUAAAAAAAAUAGACAGACAUAACCAAAGGUAUG